AAUCUGAAUAUUCAUGGCAUCAGUGACUCCACGAUUUCCAGGACGAGUCUUUGGUCAGGCGGGGUUUUGACCCUAAAUUCACCAAGAGUGUGUGGAGUGCAGUGGGUGAGUCUUUGUCCUUUGCUGUGAGUGUAUACACUUGAAAAUUGCAGUGUUCUGCUGUGUUGUGUCGUCAACAACCACCUUUCAGGCCCGACGAAAUCCUGCGAAGGAAGUGAGUACUGAGGCGGGCGAUGACAUCCUGACCCUUCUUCCCCACGUGACGGUGGUGGGAAACAAUUUCAAAAGGAAGAGGGAAGCGUUCGACCCAUCCAGUGUAGUACACUCCGGGUGAAACAACUUGCCUGUGUGUGACGCCAGCGGAGGCCGUGUUCGGCCCAACGCAACAGUAGUUUUCGAUCCGCCUCUCUAUCAGCAGUUGGUAGAAGCCUCAGAAAAGGAACGCCUGACGUCUAUUCCCUCGAAGAUCUAGCGGGUCCCUGUGAAGCGUCUACCUGCAUGUUGACCCGUCACUCAGGAUACAGAAACCGCGGAAACCCC
ensembl:lncRNA